GUAUUCUGCUGUCGUGUACAAGUAAGUAGAACAAAUUUUUAAAAAACACCAAAAAAUAAAAAAAAUAAAAGGAAAUACACAUCUCAUGGUCCUUGUGCAUGUCACCAAAAACAUUCUGUGUCCAUAGAUCCUAUCCUCUGGCCAAGAUCUGCUCCCUAAAGUGAGAGCCAUAUGAACAUCUCCCAGAUCAUUUAAUCCUCUGAGCCUGUGGGCAUUCACAUCAAAGGCUUAUAGGAUCACCUCCCAAUUUUCUUCUUUCUCUAGCUCCAAGAUGCUUUUGAAGAUCAGAACCACAGGUAUAAAUUAACCAGGCACAGAAAGAGAAAUCCUGCAGGAUCUCAUAUGUGGAAUCUGAAAAAAUAGUCUCACAGAUUUCAUAGACCCCCAAAUAAAGUGUUUAAGCUUUGAUGUUCAAAUAUUGGGACAUGUAUUGUGCCUCUUCCAAAUCAUCCCUAGAAAUGAUACAGAACACCUUUAAUGUAGAAUGGCCCAUGGUUCCAGGUGAUGUUGAGUCCCACCCAGAGCCAGGCACAGCUCUUAAAUGUGAUGGCUGCUUGUGUUUCCAACAGGCUGCUAGGUUACUAAGAAGGGUUUGGGGGCAAGGAAAAUUCAGCACCUUCUUUGUGGGCUGCUUCUUGUUGAAUUUUGCUCCACAGGUUGGAGGACAAAUUCCAGUCCUUCUAAGUAGGCCUUAAAAGUCUGGGUGGAGUGGGCACUCCUGGAGUCUGUGGAGAUUAUCAGACAAGAAGCUCAUGGCCUUGAGUGGUCAGGAGAGGCAGGAGUAAGAGCCAGUGUGAAGGUGUGGGAGUCAGAAGGAACUUGGAACUCAGCUCCUUGUGGCCUUUCAACUUGAGAUUCACAAAGAAAAAAAGCGAUAUCUCCUCACUGAAAGGUAAGAGUUUAAAUCUAUCUGGACUCUGAAUACUAUAUCUGUUUUAGCUCCAAUGCUACAUUUCCAUCAUAUGUUUAAAUCAUAUCUGAAUUAUCAUGAAUCCUUGCUCUGAGGCAAAGUUGAACACCAACUUUUAGUCCUGAGGUGAGGCCUUCAGAGUGGGAAUAAUGCUUAGUGCCCUCUGGAUGGGGCUUAUCAUCAGAUUUAUCUACAACAGAGAAGACUGUCUAGAAUGUAGAGGCACUAACUAUAGUUUUUCCUUUUUCUCCUUAGCAAAAUGGAACUUCCUUCAUGCAAAGGGAAGCCCUCCUGACUGUAGGUUAUUCGAGGGUGAAGAACAAACAUGAGUUCCACAUACCAUCUAAUGAUACAGGCAUAUCUAAAGGAGACAAGAAGACGGAAUGCAUCUUCCUGCGUGGGCAGUGCCUGCUGAGUGAAGGGAGGUUCGUGGCAAAGAUGACACCAGUAGCCGUGUGUAGCACUCACUCCUUGAGACUGUUGUUUCUGAAGCUGCAGUAUCCUCACAGGACCACAGAGGGAACAAAUGCAAACUACCCACAGUUCACUUAGCUGUACUCACUACACUUUCUUCAUUGAUCACAUGACACUGGAAGAUGAGAAUGAUUAAGGAGGAAAAGAAAAAAAAGAGCAUUCAAUUCUGCAGCAUGCUGAUAUGAGUGCCUAAAAAUGUACCUUGGUCAGAAAGUUUCACUGAGCUGGGGCUCAUACCCCAGGACUCGAAGAUACUCUUGGCAAACCUCUUGUGAGGAGGUUGAACAGAAAAUGGAAGCACCCAUGAAGGGCAGGUAGUUGCCGCAGGACUUGCCAACAGAUGGUUGGCCAUUCAUACAGUGUGAAGGAACCAUAGCUUUUGUGAUAAUGAUAUUUGAGCCAGCUUUUUGUUUUGUUUUGUUUUUUGUUUGUUUCCAGAAGUAUUAAAAGUAGAAUGGAACCACCAUGUGUGGAGUAUAUAAAGUUUCACAGAUAGGAAGUGGGUAAAGUAUUUGUUUUGAAAAAUCAUCUUGCAGUAAUGUAAAAACAUCUCAAGAGAAAAAUGUCCUCAUCUAAUGCUGCGUUAGGGCAUGCAUUUCUAUAACCUAAAUCUGUUGGUGACACAAAAAUAUAUUUUUUGUUGAAAUUCUCCUCUUUUAUUUUUUGCAGUACUGAGGAUUAAGCAUGGUAGGCAAGCACUCUACCUCUGAGCUAUAUCCCCAGUCCUUUCUAAAUUUUAUUUUGAGGAAGGGGCUCACUAAGUUGCCCACUGAUCUCAAGUUUGUGAUCCUCCCAAGUAGCUGGAAUUAUAGGUGUGAACCACCAUGACCAGCUUUGGAGAUUCUUUGUGGAUAUUUACAAGCUAGAUACACUUCAGAAAAUAGCUAUGAGAGCAAAAUAGGUUCUAAAACACAUAAUAGUUUUUAGAAUUGGAUCUGCAAUUCUAAAGAAGAAGAAACAAUAUAGAAGUAGAAAAAGAAAUGAAUAAAUAAUACAAUAGAGUACUGAUCUAUACUUGGACCUUGACUCAGGAAUUGAAAGAAUAAAUCUCAUAGACAUUGUAAGACUGUAGAAAAACUGGAUAGGGUCGAGUAAUGUUGUUCUUUUGGGAAAUUAAGACAAAACUAAAGUUAUUCAAGAAAGAGGAAUAUCCGAGUAUCUUAAAGGACUGCAAAAUGUAGUUUCACAGCUUGGAAAGACAAGCCAUGUCUGGGGACCCUUAUCCUUAUUCCAAACCAUGGUUGAGUUCUGAGUGUACUCUGAGAAGAACCUGAAACACAAUUUCUGGCUGGAGAAUCCUGAUGGUUGUCCUGAUAAACUUGGUACCUCUAAAGUCAGAAGCAACCACCGCUGGCCUAGAGGGCCUUGAGCGUAUUGACCUCAUAUUUCUGAUAUAUAGGCUUGUUCUGGGUCACCUUCUAAGCUCUGUCUUUUCCUCUCAAGCUUCCCUUUAUAUAAUCUUGCUUGUGUGUCAUCUGAUUUUUUGAUGCCUGAGGAUUUGCUUCUACCUUUCCAUGACCAAGCAUUGGCCAAAUCACUGUUUCUGUUUACUCAGUUGCAGUUAUCUGCCCCCGCUGGGGACUGUCUUCAGCUUUUGUAGCUGACAGCCUGUUUAAAUACAACCUAUUCUGUGGUCAUGCUGAGCCACAGGAAGCACUGUCUUUUGGAUUUUGCAGAACUCACACACUUAAAUGUACAGGGUCAGUUUUUAUAGCUGUUGCUGCAUCCACAUUGGACAGUGACCUUGGCUGAGACAUCCAUUACCUCUGUUUCAGAUAAAUUUAUCUGGUAUUUAAAAUCUCCAAUGUGCUUCCUCCAACUUGUCCAGAGCAAAGUAAAAUUAAAGACUGCAUCAAGUAAUGGAGAAAAGCCACAUUUUGGGCCUUUGCUGCUUUAUGAAUCUUGGAUGGUUUCAAAGAUGGCAGUAUAAAUGCAGAUGGCACUGCUCUGCAUUUGCCUGGCAUAGCUUUAAAAUAAGCAGUGUAUUUCAAACCUUCAUUGUUGGAAUGGUAUUUCCAAAUACAGACCCCAAAAGCCCUCAGGUGUUUGAUUCUAGGAUCAAGCUGGAGAUUCUUCUAUGCAAAUAUCUCCUGUGGCAUUGGAGUGGACCUUGGCUUCUGGGUCUUUUGCUUCCAACUCUUUCAUUUCUGGACGCUGGUGUGAAUCUACAUCUUGAAAUACAUACCUUAACAAGAAUUUCUGACCUGUAGAAAGCUUGUCUUUUGUGGAACAAAAGAAACGUAUGGAAAUAUCAAAGUAUCAGAAGCAGCAGUCACUAGCGAGGUCAUGAACGGAGGUCGGAUAACCUGAAAAAUAAAGUUCCAUGUGCCAAAAGCUAUAUUUGAUUUGUUUGGACUUUAUCCUUCAUUAUUUUCCUCUUUUAUAUUGAUCUUCUGAAAUUAAGUGAUUUUUCACUAUCUGCAUCAUAUUGUGAAAAAUGCGAAGUCCGGAAAUCGGACAGUGUUUCUUACUUGAGUAAUAAAUAGGAAGCAGCAUGGUGUGGAGGAAGGAGCUUGGGUUCCUCCUCUGCCUUGGCUGCUGACCUAGUCUUUGUCAUGGUAUCUCUUUGCAUUUCUCUCUUUAUAUCUGUAAAAUGGGUGGGGGGACUU
rnacentral:lncRNA from 1 species